rnacentral:rRNA from 1 species
UGGCGGACGGGUGAGUAAUGUCUGGGAAACUGCCCGAUGGAGGGGGAUAACUACUGGAAACGGUAGCUAAUACCGCAUAACGUCGCAAGACCAAAGAGGGGGACCUUCGGGCCUCUUGCCAUCGGAUGUGCCCAGAUGGGAUUAGCUAGUAGGUGGGGUAACGGCUCACCUAGGCGACGAUCCCUAGCUGGUCUGAGAGGAUGACCAGCCACACUGGAACUGAGACACGGCCAG